GGAGGAAUACCCAAGUCUGGUUGAAGGGGUCGGUCUUGAAAACCGAAAGGUCGGGCAACCGGCGCAGGGGUUCGAAUCCCUUUUCCUCCGCCA
rnacentral:tRNA from 1 species